CCAUAAUAACUGAUCGAAUCUCUUUUUGAGAUAAAUCAUUCAAGUUUCUGCCCUAUCAGCUUUCGAUGGUAGUGUAUUGGACUACCAUGGCAGUAACGGGUAACGAAGAAUUAGGGUUCGAUUUCGGAGAGGGAGCAUGAGAAACGGCUACCACAUCUAAGGAAGGCAGCAGGCGCGUAAAUUACCCAAUCCUGACUCAGGGAGGUAGUGACAAGAAAUAGCAAACCGGGAACCUCAUGGUUUCACGGUAUUGCAAUGAGAACAAUUUAAAACCCUUAGCGAGAAUCAAGUGGAGGACAAGUCUGGUGCCAGCACCCGCGGUAAUUCCAGCUCCACUAGCGUAUAUUAAAGUUUUUGCAGUUAAAAAGCUCGUAGUUGAACCUCUGUCUGGGGCUAGUUUUGGCUUUGGUCAGGCUAGUUCUAGGCAUCCGCCUACAAGACUUAGAGGGCAUUCAGUUGUUCACUAGGAGGAGUAGGCAUUUUACUUUGAAAAAAUUAGAGUGUUUAAGGCAGGCAAUCGCCCGCAUAUAUUAGCAUGGAAUAAUAGAAUAGGACACUUUUCCAUUUCGUUGGUUAUUGGAAUCGUGUAAUGAUUAAUAGGGACAGUUGUGGGCAUUUGUAUUUAAUUGUCAGAGGUGAAAUUCUUGGAUUUAUUAAAGACAAACUAACGCGAAAGCAUUUGCCAAGGAUGUUUUCAUUAAACAAGAACGAAAGUUAGGGGAUCAAAGACGAUCAGAUACCGUCCUAGUCUUAACUAUAAACUAUUCCGACUCAAUGUUUGACUGGCUUAUAUAACCAGUUGAGCGUUGUAUGAGAAAUCAAAGUCUUUAGGUUCUGGGGGGAGUAUGGUUGCAAAGCUGAAACUUAAAGGAAUUGACGGAAGAGCACAACCAGGAGUGGAUUCUGCGGCUUAAUUUGACUCAACACGGGGAAACUUACCAGGUUAAAACAAUAGUGGGAUUGACAGUUUGAGAGCGCUUUCUUGAUUGGUUGGGUGGUGGUGCAUGGCCGUUCUUAGUUGGUGGAGUGAUUUGUCUGCUUAAUUGCGUUAACGAACGAGACCUUAACCUGCUUACUAGACUGGCGAUCAUCAAUCGUUAGCUCUUCUUAGAGGGACUUUGGUUGUUUUAACUCCAAGGAAGUUUGAGGCAAUAACAGGUCUGUGAUGCCCUUAGAUAUCCUGGGCCGCACGCGUCAUACAAUGACUAGUUCAGAAAGUUUUCUCCUGACCCGAAAGGGGAUGGGUAAUCUCGAUAAUACUAGUCGUGUUAGGGAUCGAUCUUUGCAAUUAUAGAUCUUGAACGA
rnacentral:rRNA from 1 species